rnacentral:rRNA from 1 species
UUAGGUCAAGCUACAAAGGGCGUACGGAGGAUGCCUUGGCGUAGGCAGGCGAUGAAGGGCGUAGCAAGCUGCGUUAAGCCUCGGGGAGCCGCAAGCAGGCUUUGAUCCGGGGAUUCCCGAAUGGGGCAACCCGGUCGGGGUAAUACCCGGCCAUCUCACGCUGAAUCCAUAGGCGUGUGAAGCCAACGAGGGGAAGUGAACCAUCUCAGUACCCUCAGGAAGAGAAAACAACCGUGAUUCCCCAAGUAGUGGUGAGCGAACGGGGAAGAGCCUAAACCGCUCAUGUGCUCAAGCCUGCAGGCCUUGCAUGAGCGGUGUCGUGGGAGCCACACGGACCUGCUGCAGUGGGUUCAAAGGGUUACAAAGCGGACGGCUAGUCGAACGGUCUGGGAAGGCCGGCCAUAGAGGGUGACAGCCCCUUAGACGAAAGCCGCUCCGCCCCUUCGUGGAUUUCCCAAGUACCGCGGAGCACGUGGAAUUCCGUGGGAAUCUGCCGGGACCAUCCGGUAAGGCUAAAUACUCGCCUACGACCGAUAGUGAACCAGUACCGUGAGGGAAAGGUGAAAAGAACCCGGGUGACGGGAGUGAAAUAGAACUUGAAACCGUACGCCUACAAGCAGUCGGAGCGCUAUGGCCGCAAGGCAAUGCGUGACGGCGUGCCUUUUGCAUAAUGAGCCGGCUAGUUACCGUGUGUGGCAAGGUUAAGGGCCUCAGGUCCGGAGCCGUAGCGAAAGCGAGUCUGAAUAGGGCGUUCAGUCGCAUGCGGUACACGCGAAACCGGGUGAUCUAUCCCCGACCAGGAUGAAGUCUCGGUAACACGAGAUGGAGGUCCGAACCAGUGCGGGUUGAAAACCACUUGGAUGAGUUGGGGAUAGGGGUGAAAGGCCAAUCAAACUCGGUUAUAGCUCGUUCUCCCCGAAAUAGCUUUAGGGCUAGCCUCGACCGUUUCUUGCCGGAGGUAGAGCACUGAAUGGACUAGGGCGGCGUCAGCCGUACCGAAUCCAACCAAACUCCGAAUGCCGUCAAGUGAGAGGUCGGGAGUCAGUCUGUGGGGGAUAAGCUCCAUGGUCAAGAGGGAAAUAACCCAGAUCGCCAGCUAAGGUCCCUAAGUUCUGGCUAAGUGGUAAAGGUUGUUGAACUGCUCGGACAGCCAGGAGGUUGGCUUAGAAGCAGCCAUCCUUUAAAGAAAGCGUAAUAGCUCACUGGUCAAGCGGUUCUGCGCCGAUAAUGUACCGGGGCUCAAGCCAGGCACCGAAGCUGCGGGUCUCUCUCCGAAAGGAGAGGGGCGGUAGGGGAGCGUUCUUACGGAGAUGAAGCUCGACCGCGAGGACGGGUGGAUCCGUAGGAAGUGACUCUGUCGGCAUAAGUAGCGAUAAUGGCGGUGAGAAUCCGCCACGCCGAAAGCCUAAGGUUUCCUGGGGAAGGUUCGUCCGCCCAGGGUUAGUCGGGUCCUAAGGCGAGGCCGAAAGGCGUAGUCGAUGGAAAACUGGUUAAUAUUCCAGUACCACCCUAGGGACGCUAUCAGCGAAGGGGUGACGCGGAAGGAUAGGUCAGCCAGCCGAUGGAUGCGCUGGUCGAAGGUCGUAGGUGGGUCUCGCAGGCAAAUCCACGAGACCAUUACACCGAGAGCCGAGAGGGCCUCGAGUCCUUGGACGAGAGGUAACUGGCCGAGUCCAUGCCGCCAAGAAAAACCUCGUAGCGAGUCCUUAAGGUGCCCGUACCGUAAACCGACACAGGUGGGCGAGGAGAGUAUCCAAAGGCGCGUGAGUGAGCCCUCGGGAAGGAACUCGGCAAAAUUCCACCGUAACUUCGGGAGAAGGUGAACCUCGAGUACGUGAAAGCCCUCGCGGCUGUAGCGGAAUGAGGUCGCAGAGAAUCGGCCCAAGCGACUGUUUAACAAAAACACAGGUCUCUGCAAAGUCGUGAAGACGACGUAUAGGGACUGACGCCUGCCCGGUGCCGGAAGGUUAAGGAGAGAGGUCAGCCGCAAGGCGAAGCUUUGAACCGAAGCCCCGGUAAACGGCGGCCGUAACUAUAACGGUCCUAAGGUAGCGAAAUUCCUUGUCGGGUAAGUUCCGACCUGCACGAAAGGCGUAACGAUUUGGGCGCUGUCUCCCCGAGGGGCUCAGCGAAUUUGUGGCACCGGUGAAGACGCCGGUUACCCGCGACUAGACGGAAAGACCCUGUGAACCUUCACUGCACCCUAGCAUUGAAUUUCGACUCCACGUGUGCAGGAUAGGUGGGAGGCUGUGAAGCCGUGGCGUCAGCUGCGGUGGAGCCAACGUUGAGAUACCACCCUCGUGGUGUUGAGGUUCUAACCUGGGCCCGUUAUCCGGGCUGGGAACAGUGCUAGGCGGGUAGUUUGACUGGGGCGGUCGCCUCCCAAAGCGUAACGGAGGCUCCCAAAGGUUCCCUCAGGCUGUUUGGAAAUCAGCCGCAGAGCGUAAAGGCAUAAGGGAGCUUGACUGCGAGACCUACAAGUCGAACAGGCACGAAAGUGGGGCUUAGUGAUCCGGCGGUUCCGAAUGGAAGGGCCGUCGCUCAAAGGAUAAAAGGUACUCCGGGGAUAACAGGCUGAUCCUGCCCAAGAGUCCACAUCGACGGCAGGGUUUGGCACCUCGAUGUCGGCUCAUCGCAUCCUGGGGCUGAAGCCGGUCCCAAGGGUUCGGCUGUUCGCCGAUUAAAGCGGUACGUGAGCUGGGUUCAGAACGUCGCGAGACAGUUCGGUCCCUAUCUGUCGCGGGCGAAGGAGGCUUGAUGGGUUCCAUCUCUAGUACGAGAGGACCGAGAUAGACGGAGCUCUGAUGUACCAGCUGUUCCGCCAGGGGCAGCGCUGGGUAGUCACCUCCGGUGGGAUAAGCGCUGAAAGCAUCUAAGCGCGAAGCCCUCCCAAAGAUGAGGCCUCCCUCCAGCAAUGGCUGAAGGGCCCUGGAAGACGACCAGGUUGAUAGGCGGGAGAUGUAAGCGCGGUAACGCGUUCAGUCGACCCGUACUAAUAGCCCGUGAGGCUUGACCAUAACACU